UACGUAGGGGGCAAGCGUUGUCCGGAAUCAUUGGGCGUAAAGAGCGUGUAGGCGGCCCGGUAAGUCCGCUGUGAAAGUCCAGGGCUCAACCCUGGGAUGCCGGUGGAUACUGUCGGGCUCGAGUCCGGAAGAGGCGAGUGGAAUUCCUGGUGGUAGCGGUGAAAUGCGCAGAUAUCAGGAGGAACACCAAUGGCGAAGGCAGCACUCUGGGACGUGACUGACGCUGAGACGCGAAAGCGUGGGGAGCAAACAGG
rnacentral:rRNA from 1 species